GUAGGGGGCGAGAGUUGUACGGAGUUAUUGGGCGUAAAGGGCGUGUAGGCGGCCUGUUAAGUCAGGUGUGAAAUUUCAGGGCUUAACCCUGAACCUGCGAUUGAAACUGGCAGGCUAGAGGACAGSAGAGGGAAGUGGAAUUACAGGAGUAGCGGUGGAAUGCGUAGAUAUCGGSAGGAACACCAGUGGCGAAGGCGGCUUCCUGGACUGUACCUGAMGMUGASGMGAGAAAGMUAGGGGAGCAAACAGGAUUAGAUACMMUSSUAGUCCUAGCCGUAAACGAUGAGUGCUAGGUGUGGGAGGUUAAAAUCCUUACGUGCCGGAGUUAAMGCAAUAAGCACUCCGCCUGGGGAGUACGGCCGCAAGGCUA
rnacentral:rRNA from 1 species